ACUUUUUUUUUUUCUUUUUUUUUUUUUUUUUCUGUACUUUAUGCUUUGGCCUUGGCUAUUGUUCCAUACCACAAAGGGCUGUUCCCAUUUCUUAUCCUUUGCCUUGCAGUAGAAUCAUCUUAGGGAGGAGGGAAUAUACCUGGGAAUAACAAAGUCACACAUACCUUGAAUGAGCCAUUAACAAGGCCUUAAUAAACUUUUCCAGUAGCUAUGGGCCGCUAGCUUCUUCCCUGACCUUGGUCUUAUGUUAUAGUAUUAAAAUGUCCUCCACUGCAUUGCAACAACAGAUGAUGUCUAUCAGGUAGUUGAACUUCCAUUGAGUACUCCAGGAACUAAAUGAGAAAAUUCAUGUAUUAUAACCAUGGGUUUCUCUAGUGCCAAGUCCCUUCCAGAAGCCCUGCAUAUCUAAGUGCUCUUCAGGCUGGGCAUAAAGAGGACCUCAAACACUAUGCCAGCAAUGGGUAAUCUAUGUAAGUAAUGCAAACAUACGGUGUUCUGGUCUCCACGAGGCUCUCAGGGUUGCACCCAGACAACUGUCUCACUGAUCAGAACACCUUCCCCCGGUGAGCAGCGCAGGACCAAUCAGUGACUCGCCCACCACUGGGGAAAACCUAUCCUCAGAAGGUGGUGCAUACAUAAUUAGAGCCUGCUUUAAAAUUUGCACGGGCCUGCAAUGUUCAUAUACCUUUUUCUGUAUUCUGAAGUCUCUCGUUCUAUUUGCUAAGUAUCUUUGCACUUUCUGGACCACUUCACUAGUUAUAUUCUUAGCAGUCUUACUGUAUGGCCCCAGGGAGUCAAAAAAGGAAAUUUCAGACUAUUUCACUUCUGGGUUACUCCAGCAAUAGCAGGUUGUUUUUGUAACUUGUGUUGCUAAAUGCAGGAAAUGACUUUUGGAGGCAACAGAAUUGAACUGCCUGGUCUUAUUCCCAGCUCUUGCAUUAGCUUUACUCCAGCACAACUGUUUCAAGAGGGGACACGCCAGCAUUUAAUGUCAUUUGUACAAGAACAGACAGGCUGUUUGUCAUUUCACUCGUGACUUUGCAUACAGCAUGUGUGUUUGCAAAAAUGUUUGAGCAUGGAUUGCCACAACAGCCUACAUGAAAGCAUCUGUAUUACACAUUUGAUUUUAUAUUUGAAACCUAGAAAAAUAUAAAUAUGUUAAUUUUCCAAAGGAGGAAAUUAAUCCUAUUAUUACUUAGACUGGUACAUUUAGCAAGGUGUUGCUGUCAUCCAACAGUAAUGAAAACAAUAUACUUUCAUACUGGAUUCAAUUAUGGCAUUAUACUUAUUGAACGUGUAUUUUAUACUACUACAGAUAGGGGAAACUAUCCUUUUCAGUUGCUUGUACCUUUCUUGGAUCACUUUUCAGGCUGAACUUUUGAUAUUGAAGUUCAGCCUAGAGAUAAAUUUAUGUACAGAAUUUUAUCAGGCUUUGUUGAGAGAUCUUUGACUUCUGAGAGAACAGGCAAAUAUAUUUGCCUUUUACUCUCCAAUCAGAAAUGCUGUGCACUCAUAGCUCAACUUGAAAGCUGAACUCAGACAAAUGCACUCAAAGUUGUUGGGGUCAUACAGUUAGAUUAGUAUAUCAGUUUUCAUUUCAAACAUGAAAGCAAGUUUCCAGUGUUCCUGACCAUAAAGAAACGCUUGAAACCAUGAGCUGUUUUGAAUUAACACGGUAACAUCUACUUGAAUUUGCAGAAUAACUGGAACAAAGCACUGAGCGAAGUGGUGUUACUUGUGUAUCUCCAGUUAAGUGCUCUGCUUAGAGGAAUGACUUCUCCUCAGUGCCUCCGGCAUUCAAUAGGAAAAAAGUCUCCCAAGUGAAACAGUUUUCUUCUUUCUCUGGUACUGAAGAAACAAGAACAAAAGCUUCAGGUUUUCAGGUCCUUGAUGAGAAAAAGAAGUAGCUAAUCUAAACUGCUUUCCAUCUGGCCAAUAUUCUCUCCAGAAAUUAAAAAGUGUAUGUUUGCAGCAUGAGGUGGUCCAUCCAUACAUAUAUACUAAUGAGAAGUCCUCCUGGAAUCAGAGAAGUCCCCUUCUCUCUUUGAGAGGAAGAUCAAGCACCUCAGUGCCAACUCUCUUCACCAUCUAAUGGGAAGGAAAGGCAGACUACAGUUCGGAGCUGUGCUUCUCACUUCCAAGUGGUCUUUUGUUUACAGCUGAUGUGUUCAGACAUGUCUUGUUGUCAACCACUGCCUGACCUAAGAGAAAAUCUAAGCAUGAAGGAAUCUUAUUCAGCAAAAAAUGACCGCAAAGAACAAGAACUGCAAGCUGCAUCUCCAGAGACAAGCAGGCAGAAUGAGAGGUUUUAAUCCCAAACAAAGACCUACUCAGAAAAGUGCAAGAACACUGACUAUCUCUGUUAAGACACUUAAAGAAAAAUGAUGACAUAUCUCUGGGCUGGCCAGGCACUGCGUGGGAGUAACUUCUUUGCAGUGUAGUUCAAGCUUCCUCAUGAGCUUGCUUUACUUACUGGUAUGCUCCUGUCUCUGAGCCUUGAUCUAUUUCUCCGAUCUUUUUUUCAAGAGUAAAACUGUAUAGAAUGUGUUCGUCUAAAGGGAUGAAAAGUAGCAAGCAUCCAGAUAAAAAUCAAAGGUCAGUCAGACUCUUUCUGUGUGAAACACCAUUAUAUCCAUAUUUCCUGCUGGAAAUAAAACUACGAUUCUUUUGCUUUAUUCCAAAUCAGUUGUAAAUUACUAGAUGUUGCACAGUCAGCAUGUCUGCACUAAAAUAAUUCCUAAUUUGUACCAACAACUUUUCUAUUUGUUAGUUUCCAUCAACACACACUGUUAGAAGCAGGAGACAAUGGUCUUUGAUUUCUAGUGCCAAAAAGAAGAAAAAAAAAGAAAAAA
ensembl:lncRNA